rnacentral:rRNA from 1 species
GAUUUCUGAUUUGGUGCGCCUGGCCCGCCGCAUUAGCGUGUGAGUGCCGGGUCGCGCCUUUCAUCCUUCUAGAAAUCGUGCCUGCCCUUCAUUGGACCAGGUACGCGAUCUAGAUCUUUUACUUUGAAAAAAUUAGAGUGUUUAAAGCAGGCUUUUGCUAUGAAUACAUUAGCAUGGAAUAAUAAUUUAGGACUUCGGUUCUAUUUUGUUGGUUUCUAGGACUGAAGUAAUGAUUGAUAGGGAUAGUUGGGGGUGCUAGUAUUCAGUGGCCAGAGGUGAAAUUCUCGGAUUCACUGAAGACUAACUUAUGCGAAAGCAUU